rnacentral:lncRNA from 1 species
UGCUCUUCCGAUCAAUUCCGCCAACACUUCAACGUGGAUUGAAGAGGACGUGUUCUGUCUCUUAACACAAUAUUGUUAUGGAUGAAAAACUUCAGAGAAACAGGUUCAGCUCUCAAACAGAAGUCAACAGGUUCGUCCAAGGUCAGUCAGGACAUCAGACAACAUUGAGCGUGUCAGACAAGCUGUGGAGAUUAGUCCGAACCGGCCAGCUUGUAUACACGCUUCUGCUAUGCGUCUUUCCGAUUGCAGCGUAUGGCAAAUACUUCAUUAUGAUAUACACUGCCACCUGUACAAAUUGACUGUUGUUCAGCAACUAACAUCUUGAGAUUACACAAAUCGCGUAAAAUUUUCACAGCAAAUGAUUGAUGUGAUGACUGAUGACAUGGUU